rnacentral:rRNA from 1 species
UACGAAGGGGGCUAGCGUUGCUCGGAAUGACUGGGCGUAAAGGGCGCGUAGGCGGAUUGUACAGUCAGGCGUGAAAGCCCCGGGCUCAACCUGGGAACCGCGCUUGAGACUGGCAUGCUCGAGUUCGGGAGAGGAUGGUGGAAUUCCCAGUGUAGAGGUGAAAUUCGUAGAUAUUGGGAAGAACACCGAUGGCGAAGGCAGCCAUCUGGACCGACACUGACGCUGAGGCGCGAAAGCGUGGGGAGCAAACAGG